rnacentral:lncRNA from 1 species
UGGAUGACGAGGAAGGGGAGGAGAGGAGAAUGACUACUGGCAAGGAAUGGGUUGGAGGAGGAGGAGGACAAAAAAGAUAAGAAGGUGGGGAGAAAGAGGAGGAGAAGGCAUGGAUUGUCAGCGAAAAAGGGCAAAGGUGGAAGGGGCCACCAUGGAAGGGGAUGGCUUAUAGGUGCCUUGGAUGAGGAGGAGGAUGAAGAAGGAAAGAAGAUGAAGGGAUAGAUAGGUUU